rnacentral:rRNA from 1 species
AUUGAACGCUGGCGGCAGGCCUAACACAUGCAAGUCGAGCGGAGCGGCGGACGGGCGAGUAAUGCCUAGGAAUGUGCCUGGUAGUGGGGGAUAACGUCCGGAAACGGGCGCUAAUACCGCAUACUAUCAGAUGAGCCUGGGUGGGAUUAGCUAGGUUGUGGGGUAAGGGCCUACCAAGGCGAAGAUCCGUAACUGGUCUGAGAGGGUGAUCAGUCACACUGGAAUUGAGAUACGGUCCAGACCCCUACGGGAGGCAGCAGUGGGGAAUGUUGGACAAGGGGCUAAAGCCUGAUCCAGCCAUGCCGCGUGUGUGAAGAAGGUCUUCGGAUUGUAGAGCACUUUAAGUUGGAAGGCGUUACCAACAGAAUAAGCACCGGCUAACUUCGUGCCAGCAGCCGCGGUAAUUC